UGGUCCUUACGCUGUCGCCCAGCCA
rnacentral:piRNA from 1 species